AGUAAUCCUGGCUGAUUUUAUCCCACUCCAGUUCCCUAAAUCUGCUGCUGUUGCUGCUCUACCAGAGGAUUAAAGGGCCGGCAGUGGAUUACGUAGAUACUGCUGCUUCUGCCGUUUGCAGAGUUCCCCUCUGAGUCUGCCAUUUCUGCAGGGCAUGGAAGCUAAGCUCCCUCUGUAGUUCAUUGCUGUCAUGGGGUGGUUGAUUUCUUGGAGUUUCCCUGUCUAAUUCUGGAGAUUCAGAUGCUGGGCCCCUCAGGGAGCUGCAGCCUAUUUGGAAAGAGGUGGGAAGAAGUGGUAUUUCAACACAACCUAGGAUGAAGAAUUAAAUGUUCCCAGGUCACAGCGCUCCCAGCCUUACCCCAGCAGAGCAUCAUGCUGGGGCCUGCACAACUGAUGCCAGGACCAUCCUAAGGAAAGCAAACAUCACCAGGAAUUUCUGUGUCUAUGCAAUUGAUCCAGCUACUGAAGGUUUUGGUGUGGAGGAUGCUGCCAGGUGGCCCCUUAUGGCUUUUUCUCUCACUCGCCUGCCUCCUGCCCUUCACCAGGUCCCAGAUAAAGAUACCACUUGAAACAGUGAAAUCCUGGGCAGAUGCCUUUGGUGGGGACUUAUUUUACCUUGUUUCGAAGUAUUCUGGUUCUCUUUUAUUGCAGAAGAAAUACAAAGAUGUGGAACCAACUCUGAAGAUUGAAGAAGUAGAUGGCUUGGAGCUGGUGAAAAAGUUCUCCGAAGAGAUGGAAAGCAUGCUGCGGAGAAAAGUAGAAGCAGUUGAGCGGUUGGUUGAAGCAGCAGAAGAUGCAGAUCUGUACCAUGAAUUCAACGCAUCCCUGGAGUUUGAUUAUUACAAUGCCGUUCUCAUUAACCAAAGGGAUGAGAAGGGUGAUUAUGUGGAGCUUGGUGAUGAAUUCAUUCUGGAACCAAAUGAACACUUCAAUAACCUGCUGGUGAACACAACGUUUAGUGAUAUACAGCUUCCUACAAAUGUUUACAACAAAGAUCCUGCUAUUUUGAAUGGGGUAUAUAUGUCUGAGGCAUUGAACCCUAUUUUUGUGGACAAUUUUGAAAGAGAUCCAACCCUCACGUGGCAAUACUUUGGCAGCUCUACGGGAUUCUUCAGGCUUUAUCCAGGAAUAAAAUGGACACCAGAUGACAAUGGGGUUCUUUCUUUUGACUGCAGGAAUCGAGGCUGGUAUAUCCAGGCAGCCACAUCGCCCAAAGAUAUUGUAAUUGUGGUGGAUAUCAGUGGGAGCAUGAAGGGACUGCUUCUGACCAUUGCCAAGCACACCAUUGUCACUAUUUUGGACACACUGGGAGAAAAUGACUUUGUGAACAUAAUUGCUUACAAUGAUUAUGUUCAUUAUGUUGAAUCCUGUUUUAAGGGAAUUCUGGUUCAAGCUGACAGAGAUAACAGAGAGCAUUUUAAGCAGCUAGUGGACGAGUUACAUGCAAAAGGAGUUGGGACAGUGAACAAGGCCCUGACAGAAGCCUUCAGAAUUUUGAGAGAGUUCAGAAAUGCUGGUCAAGGAGGGCUUUGUAACCAGGCUAUCAUGCUGAUCACAGAUGGAGCCAUGGAAGACUAUGAAUAUGUCUUUGAAAAAUUUAACUGGCCUGAUCGAAAGGUUCGAGUUUUUACAUAUCUUAUUGGAAGGGAAGUCAGCUUUGCACAGAAUGUCAAAUGGAUAGCUUGUAAUAACAAAGGCUAUUACACACAGAUAUCGACUUUGGCUGAUGUCCAGGAGAAUGUAAUGGAGUACUUGCAUGUACUUAGUCGACCAAUGGUUAUCAACCAUGAUCAUGACAUCAUAUGGACUGAAGCAUACAUGGACAGUGCACUCUUUGCAUCUCAAGCUCAAAGCCUCUUGCUCAUGACAACGGUGGCUAUGCCAGUCUUUAGCAAGAAGAAUGAAACGAGAUCUCACGGCAUUCUCCUGGGUGUGGUGGGCUCAGAUGUUCCUCUGAGAGAACUCCUGAAACUUGCUCCACGAUACAAGCUGGGAGUCCAUGGAUAUGCCUUUCUAAAUACCAACAAUGGCUACAUUCUGUCUCAUCCAGACCUCCGACCACUGUAUAAAGAAGGGAAGAAGCUAAAGCCCAAACCAAACUACAACAGUGUUGACCUUUCUGAGGUGGAAUGGGAAGAUGUGGAUGAAAUUCUACGGACCGCAAUGAUCAAUGGAGAAACAGGUUACCUCUCAAUGGAUGUAAAAGUGCCAGUAGAUAAAGGAAGACGGGUUCUUUUCCUCACUAAUGACUAUUUCUAUACGGAUAUCAGUGACACACCCUUUAGUCUGGGUGUUGUUCUCUCACGAGGGCAUGGUGAAUACAUCCUGCUCGGGAACACUUCAGUGGAAGAAGGUUUGCAUGAUCUGCUGCAGCCAGACUUGUCCUUGGCAAAUGAGUGGAUUUAUUGCAUUACAGAUAUUGAUCCAGAUCACAGAAAACUGAGCCAAUUGGAGGCUGUAAUUCGUUUCCUUACAGGAGAAGAAGCUGACCUAGAAUGUGAUGAGGAGUUGGUUCAAGAGGUGCUCUUUGAUGCUGUAGUAACAGCGCCCAUGGAGGCCUACUGGACAACCUUGGCUCUCAACUUGUCUGAUGAGACUGAAGGGGGAGUGGAGAUAGCUUUUAUGGGAACUCGGGCUGGUCUCAUGAGAAGUUGCCUCUAUGUUGGCUCUGAGAAACUCUCUAACAGUAAGUUCUUGACCCGUGAAGAUAAGGAGAAUAUUUUCACCAUGGACCACUUCCCCCUUUGGUACCGUCGAGCAGCUGAACAUCCACCAGGAAGCUUUGUUUACAGCAUUUCUUUUGAAGAAAUUUCAGAAGGAGGUCUGCCCGAGGCGGUAACAGUGAGCACAUCCGUGGCUGUGACUGUGGAGGGAAAGACAGGAAUCGCUGCAGCUGUGGGCGUGCAAAUUAAACGGGAAUUACUCCAACGCAAGUUGUGGAUGACGGCACAGCAGCCCAAUGAUACUGAUUGUAGUGGUGUGGAGGGUCUCUGUCCCAUGAGCUGUCAAGAUGAUAAUCUGAACUGCUUCCUCAUUGAUAAUAAUGGAUUCAUACUUGUAUCUAAAGUUCUCAAACAGACUGGGAAAUUUUUUGGAGAAGUGGAUGGCUCUGUUAUGACUCAACUCAUAAACAUGGGAAUGUUCAAACAGGUGAAAAUGUUUGAUUACCAAGCUAUGUGCAAAGCACCGCACCACCACCACAGUGGUGCCCGACCUCUUCUUAGCCCUUUUUAUGCCUUGUUGGCAGCAGUAAGGUGGCUGAUAACCGACCUCCUCAUAUUCCUUUUGGAGUUUAAUAUAUCUAGCUUCUGGCACACAGACAACUUGGCAGAUGCCAAGGCUGUUUUCCAUCAUGCUCACAAGCAUAAGAAGCAUGACAUGCUGCAGCCUUGUGAUACAGAAUACCCCGUGUUUGUGUAUGAACCUGCGAUCCAAGAAACCAAUGGGAUCAUUGACUGUGGAGGAUGUCAGAAGAUGUUUGUAGUGCAGCAAAUUACAAAGAGCAACCUCCUGUUCCUGGUUACAGAUGCUGUUUGUGACUGCAGCAUCUUCCCGCAAGUUCUUCUGCUUCCUAAAGAAGUCAAAUAUAUCCUUUUGUUUGCAAAGGCUGUGCUGAACUCUAUAGCUGUUUGGUUUCCAAGUUCUCAAAUGUCAAUAGUUUUAGAGACAGAGUUGGCUCUUAGAGGAAAUGAAAGUACAGCACAUUUUCUAGUGAAAAGCAUGACAUAGACGUUGUUUUGCAAGUGUUUGCUAUUGCUUAAUGUUGUUUAAAUAUGCAUAGGUAGUUCUGUUGACCAUAACAGUGAUUCCAAAUUCUAUAUUGUAGCUUGUUCAUUAGGUGGGCCAACCAGAAAUUCACAAAAGUCUUGGUGCUAGCCUUUGGAACCAAAGUUCUUUCACUAGGUAAAGAUAUUGUUUUAAAGAUCAUACAGUAAAAGGAGGGAGAGUAAGAAAUCAGUUGAGAUCCUGAAUUGAAUAUGUAGCUUUAAUUUUGCAGCUAUGAUCCAUCUCUUGAUCUAACCAUUCCCAAACCCACCUUAAAAGCCAGUGAUACCAACUGAAGUACUUAUACAAUGCUUGCAAGUGGAGCAUUGAAGGAAGAGGAGAAGGACAGAGAGAAUGAUCAUGAUAUUUAUUUUAUGCCUGUUUCUUUCUAUAAAUUGAGGUAGGAAACAACAGAUUAAAAUUUAUUUAUUUAUUUAUAUUAUUUACAUUCUGCUCUUCUCACCCCGAAGGCGACUCAGGGCAGAUCACAUUGCACAUAUAAGGCAAACAUUUAAUGCCAUAACAUAGAACAGAGACAGAUGCAGGCACAGGUGGGCCUCGAACUCAUGACCUCUUGGUCAGAGUGAUUUGUUGCAGCUGGCUGCUAAACAGCCUGCGCCACAGCCCUGCAUCUUUCCACUUCCCCUUCCAGCAAGCUAUGGUGCAACAAACAGGUAGAGACCUCUGCAGGGUCCUAGCAAACUACUCCUAUGAUAAUUUGUGAUAAUUGAUGGCAUCACCCUUCACUGCUGGAAGCAUCAUCCUUCAAUGCACCCAUUCACCAGCACUGAACAUCUUUGUUUGGUGUGCUCUCUUGAUUUUAAGUUGCUCUUAACCUUAACAACAAUGUACAUAAUGCCUCCGUAAAAUGUGACAGGAUGCGCUCCCAGAAACUGAGACGGCGACCAGAUAGCUGCCAUGCAUUUCAUCCAGAGGAAAACGCACAGGACUGCGGAGGGGCAGCAGAGAUUUCUGCUUCAUUGAACUUAUUGCUCCUUCCUCUAGGAGCCACAGCUCUUCUCCUGCGAUGACAGCAUCCAUCAUAGCCCAAUUCAGAGCCAAAAACUCAUAGACCAUGGUAUUUUAAAGUGAAAUCUACUUGGGUAUUUAUUGUUAUUGCACGUAUGCUGAGGACAAAAUGGCAGUGGCCCAUUUACUCUAUGAGUUAUAGCCCUCUCAAAGUUUGUGUUGCAUUUGCUGCUGAGGCAACUACAAGAAGCAUGGCACUUUAAUCAGGGCAUUGUGCCAACUGGAUCAAACAUUGCAACCUUGCUACAUGAUCUAGCCCACAGACGACCAUCCCUUCCUCAGCAGCAUAGAGACAUUUACACAGAAUCACUGAUGAUUACCAACUCUUGUCAGAAUGGAUGAAUUUUUAUUCUGCCAUUUACUUUAUAGUCCAGUGGCUUUCCUUGCAACAGAAGAGUCACAGAUUUCAUACUGCUGUCUGCUAUAUGUAUGCAACUUGUUUGAGCAGCACUAUUACCCUGAUGAAAGCAGUGGACCAAUUUUGCUCCCAAAGUAAAUUGUCCAAUUUGGCAACCAGCAACGGAUUUGCACUGUGGUUAUCAAAGAGCUGGAGAACAGUUGCCAAGCCUUAAAGCAGAAGGAAGUUGCUGCAGGUGCUGGUUCUGCAACUAUGGAGCCUUGUGAUCGGUCGCUAUGAUUUCAGCUGCUUGCUCUAUGACACUCUAAAAGGGAUUCUUUCCAGGUCUUUUGAAAUACAAUGUGCAUAGAAUGUUUAGAGAUACUAUUAUGGUAUAUAAAAAAAACCCUCAGUUCAAUUUCAGUAGUCAUACAACACUGGUUGGGUUCCCUUUCUUUUAAGCUGUUGAAAUUUCCAUUCUAUGGAUCACACAAUUAACAGCUUUAAAUGUGGUUAUACUAAUCUUAUACUAGGGGACUAACAAUGGUUUGACAUUUGAAACAAUCUGAAAAUAGAUCGGAGGAAAGUCAACAUAUGUGAUCCAGAUUUAAUCCCAGAUUCUCAUCUUCUUGGGGCCAUUUUAUUCUGAAGACUGCAUGGAUGGGCAUGUACGGCACUUUUCUUCCUGUAGGAUCUGUUAGAGAGUAACAAACUGUCAAAAUGCCAAGAGGGGAGGGGGAGGAGAUGAACAAAUCCAGAAAUACCCAAACCACUUCAGGGUUUGAAAAACUGGUGAUUUGGAAUGCUCCAUGGAGAAGGGCAAUUCUGCUAACUUUAUGUGAACUGAAACUUCUGAAGGCUUCUGGAAGAGGGUCAUUUUUUUUGCCAGAAUAAAUGUUCUUCGCAAUCUGGAGAGGCUGUGUUUUGCCCUUCUACUGUAAAGUCUUUUCAAGGAGGGGAUUGCAAACACCCAAAGGCCUAAAUCGUGUUGUUAGUCCUAACCAGAGGAGACUCAUUCAAUCAGUGCGAUUGACCGCUAUAUUAACUUACCAUUCAACAGUUUAUUGAUUGGGUCUAUUCUAGUUGGAAUGAACAGGAUGCCACCUAGAGUGACGUAACAGUAACAUACGAUAUUUCUCUCAACGUUUGAAAGCCAUUCUGCCUUAUGAGAGGAUGUGAGGGAAAUCUUAAUCAGAUUUUCAUUUUAUCUGCUUCUCAGGAGUCUUAGUGCCAGUGCUGGGUCACUGACCAAAAGUUAGGACAGCCAAACAGCAGAUACUCUUAUAAUAAAAAUCUCAAAAGUUGUUCAUCCUCUGAAUAAGAAGAGACUAUUUCCUAGAAAGUAAUAACUGAAUGGCUUGCUUAAACUUGCUGACGGCAUGAGAAUCUCAAUCCCCAAAAGACUGCACAGGAAAUUGUUGGGCUUUGGGAGGGAGGUUGUAAAAAUUGUCACAUGGCUUUUUAAAAAAAUAUAUAGCAUUUUCACUAUAACUUUCGUGUCUUAUUUCAUGGAUGGUGUAACAUAUGUCUCAAGACUUUACCUUUAGCCAAGGAUGGAACAACACUGAUGUUUAUAUCACAAAUUAUUUCUACCUAGAUGUAGUUGGACAUGAUUCACACUAUGGCUUACAUAAUAGAACUCUUUAUAGGUUCAAGUCAUAUGCUGCAACAUCCCUGUUACUUAUGUACUAAUCUACCCAUCUCCAUAACAUUGACAAAUAUAUCAACCCCCAUCCUAGAAAAAGACACCAAGCCUUCAUUGCAUUUCUUCUUUUUAUUAGAAGUUAAUAAUACAACAAGGAAUGAGAUCCCAUUGCCUGGAGACCCCAAUCUUCAGAGUCCAAGAUGUGCUUUGUUGCCUCCAACAGUAAGCAAUUUUUAAAAAACAAAAUACUGAACAAGGCCACUAGUUAAUGGGGGGAGCUGAAAAUCUCAACUAUAUUAUGCUGAAAACCUGCACACACAGAAACAGAAAGCAAGCCAACCUCCAGCUGCUGAGAAUAAGGCAGUCAGGUGCCAACCUGGGAAGAAGUCUCAGCAAGCACCCAGAAAAGUGCACAGCUAAGCAUUUUUUAAAAAUAGGGACACAAAAUGUCCUAAACAGAAACCAAUGAGGAUUAAGAACAGCAAGUGGGGUGUUGUGUUUUUGUACAUGUUAUGUGCUGUCAGACCAGGCUAUAAAACCCCUUUUAUGGGAGUGAACAUGAGAAGAUCCAGAAUAAGGAGAUGCAGCUUUUGCUGGUACAUACAAAGGUACCUCCCCCUCACACGCACACACGUGAAAAGUGCUUUUCAGACAGGCAGGUUUGGAUCUGGAUCUGAUAUGUAUUCAACUAACAUUAUGGAAGCCAUCCUUCUACCAAUUGGCUACAUAAGCCCUUUGAGAGGUAUAGUCAUCACUGCACUCCAUUUUACUGAAGAGUUUUAAUUAACACUGUUUCUGGUUUUUGUUUUUUGUUGGUUUUUUUUGUGUUUUUUUUUUGGUUUGGGGAGAAAAAGCCCCAA